rnacentral:rRNA from 1 species
UACGAAGGGGGUUAGCGUUGCUCGGAAUUACUGGGCGUAAAGCGCACGUAGGCGGCUUUUUAAGUCGGGGGUGAAAUCCUGGAGUUCAACUCCAGAACUGCCUUCGAUACUGAAGAGCUUGAGUCCGGGAGAGGUGAGUGGAACUGCGAGUGUAGAGGUGAAAUUCGUAGAUAUUCGCAAGAACACCAGUGGCGAAGGCGGCUCACUGGCCCGGUACUGACGCUGAGGUGCGAAAGCGUGGGGAGCAAACAGG